rnacentral:rRNA from 1 species
AAUGGGUCAGCGACUUAUAUUCUGUAGCAAGGUUAACCGUAUAGGGGAGCCGUAGGGAAACCGAGUCUUAACCGGGCGUUAAGUUGCAGGGUAUAGACCCGAAACCCGGUGAUCUAGCCAUGGGCAGGUUGAAGGUUGGGUAACACUAACUGGAGGACCGAACCGACUAAUGUUGAAAAAUUAGCGGAUGACCUGUGGCUGGGGGUGAAAGGCCAAUCAAACCGGGAGAUAGCUGGUUCUCCCCGAAAGCUAUUUAGGUAGCGCCUCGUGAAUUCAUCUCCGGGGGUAGAGCACUGUUUCGGCUAGGGGGCCAUCCCGGCUUACCAACCCGAUGCAAACUGCGAAUACCGGAGAAUGUUAUCACGGGAGACACACGGCGGGUGCUAACGUCCGUCGUGAAGAGGGAAACAACCCAGACCGCCAGCUAAGGUCCCAAAGUCAUGGUUAAGUGGGAAACGAUGUGGGAAGGCCCAGACAGCCAGGAUGUUGGCUUAGAAGCAGCCAUCAUUUAAAGAAAGCGUAAUAGCUCACUGGUCGAGUCGGCCUGCGCGGAAGAUGUAACGGGGCUAAACCAUGCACCGAAGCUGCGGCAGCGACGCUGAUGCGUUGUUGGGUAGGGGAGCGUUCUGUAAGCCUGUGAAGGUGGCCUGUGAGGGUUGCUGGAGGUAUCAGAAGUGCGAAUGCUGACAUAAGUAACGAUAAAGCGGGUGAAAAGCCCGCUCGCCGGAAGACCAAGGGUUCCUGUCCAACGUUAAUCGGGGCAGGGUGAGUCGACCCCUAAGGCGAGGCCGAAAGGCGUAGUCGAUGGGAAACGGGUUAAUAUUCCCGUACUUGGUGUUACUGCGAAGGGGGGACGGAGAAGGCUAUGUUGGCCGGGCGACGGUUGUCCCGGUUUAAGCGUGUAGGUGUGUGUUCCAGGUAAAUCCGGUUCACUUUAACACUGAGGCGUGAUGACGAGGCACUACGGUGCUGAAGCAACAAAUGCCCUGCUUCCAGGAAAAGCCUCUAAGCAUCAGGUAACAUCAAAUCGUACCCCAAACCGACACAGGUGGUCAGGUAGAGAAUACCAAGGCGCUUGAGAGAACUCGGGUGAAGGAACUAGGCAAAAUGGUGCCGUAACUUCGGGAGAAGGCACGCUGACACGUAGGUGAAGUGAUUUACUCAUGGAGCUGAAGUCAGUCGAAGAUACCAGCUGGCUGCAACUGUUUAUUAAAAACACAGCACUGUGCAAACACGAAAGUGGACGUAUACGGUGUGACGCCUGCCCGGUGCCGGAAGGUUAAUUGAUGGGGUCAGCGCAAGCGAAGCUCCUGAUCGAAGCCCCGGUAAACGGCGGCCGUAACUAUAACGGUCCUAAGGUAGCGAAAUUCCUUGUCGGGUAAGUUCCGACCUGCACGAAUGGCGUAAUGAUGGCCAGGCUGUCUCCACCCGAGACUCAGUGAAAUUGAACUCGCUGUGAAGAUGCAGUGUACCCGCGGCAAGACGGAAAGACCCCGUGAACCUUUACUAUAGCUUGACACUGAACAUUGAGCCUUGAUGUGUAGGAUAGGUGGGAGGCUUUGAAGCGUGGACGCCAGUCUGCAUGGAGCCGGCCUUGAAAUACCACCCUUUAAUGUUUGAUGUUCUAACGUGGACCCGUGAUCCGGGUUGCGGACAGUGUCUGGUGGGUAGUUUGACUGGGGCGGUCUCCUCCUAAAGAGUAACGGAGGAGCACGAAGGUUGGCUAAUCCUGGUCGGACAUCAGGAGGUUAGUGCAAUGGCAUAAGCCAGCUUGACUGCGAGCGUGACGGCGCGAGCAGGUGCGAAAGCAGGUCAUAGUGAUCCGGUGGUUCUGAAUGGAAGGGCCAUCGCUCAACGGAUAAAAGGUACUCCGGGGAUAACAGGCUGAUACCGCCCAAGAGUUCAUAUCGACGGCGGUGUUUGGCACCUCGAUGUCGGCUCAUCACAUCCUGGGGCUGAAGUAGGUCCCAAGGGUAUGGCUGUUCGCCAUUUAAAGUGGUACGCGAGCUGGGUUUAGAACGUCGUGAGACAGUUCGGUCCCUAUCUGCCGUGGGCGCUGGAGAACUGAGGGGGGCUGCUCCUA